rnacentral:lncRNA from 1 species
CUGAUAUCAUGCUAUUAAUCUGCCCUUCAUGAAUACAAGGUCCAUCUGUACUGACCUCAAAGUGACAUCUCUAAAAGACAAAUCUGAUGUGUUAUGCCCCUUCUUGGGAAGCAGUUAAGGCGAGUAAUAAUGUGAAGUUCUUGGCCCUACCACGCAUUUGCUCUGUGGCCUUGACAAGUUAAUUACUUAACCUCUCCAAGACUUGGUUCACUUCUUCAUAAAAUAAAAAUCAUCAUCGUACCUACCUCAUAAAGUUAAUAGGAGACUUAAAUGAGAUAAUGAGUGAAAGAUUUAGCAGUGUCAUUCACAUAGUAAGGUCUCCAUACAGGCUGGCAGUUAUUAUUAUUUUCAUUACCCAAUUAAGGUCUUGUAUGGUUCCCCUCAGCUUUUAAGAUAAACUACCAUCUCAUUUCUUACCCCCCUCCCCUUUUCUGGCUGCCCCGCCGCGGCGUAUGGAGUUCCCCCAGCCAGGGUGGGAUCUGAGCUACAGUUGCGACCUAAGCCGCAGCUGCACAAUGCAGCACCCUUAACCCUCUGUACCGGGCUGGUUAUGGAGCCCGAGAUGCCACCAAUGCUGUUGCACCGCAGAAAUGCCCAGUCUUGUUUCUAUGAUGUACGAUCUCUGCUCUCAGAUGAUAUCUUCAACUUCAUUGGUUUGCUUUUUUCCCCCCCGAAGUUCUCUGAUUUUCCCGAGUAAGUCAUGUGAUCCAUUUCCACAGCUUUACCAGCCCCCACCUGACCUCUAGACCGCAGGACAUAACCUUCCUCUGCAUUAGGCACUUUCCCUCCAUCUCCAGUAGGUGGCACUAGUCUAAUCAUCAUUCAAGAUGGGAGUUUUCCAAGCAAUGGUCCAAGGCUUUCCUCUUGUUUUCUAGGACAGUUUCUCUCUUCCCCUCCCAGGACUCCAACAGCAGCCAUGCUUAUCUCUUUCAGGGCAUACUGUAGUAUAUGCUUAUUAUAUGAUAUGCUUGUCUUGUGUGUAUAUUAUAUGCUUAUCUCUUUCAGGGCAAUUAUGUGAUAAUUUCCCCUUUAUUUUCCUCUCUCCUCUUCUGAAGUCUACCCUUUACACAGAUAAUGCCCAUCCCACAUGGUUCUUUUUGUUUUUCUUUUCUUAAUUUUGUAUUUAAACUUGGGACUUAGAAAAGUAAUAGGUACUAAGUAAAUAUUCCAAGUGGACAAAUUUGCCACCUCCCCUUUUAAAAUUUCUAUCUACCCACAUAUUUUUUAUCUUCAUAAACAAAUAGCCAUAAUGACCCAUUUAACCACCUACUAAAUUCAUAGCUGUACUUCUAUAUCUCUUUACCCUACUCUGGAUCCCAUAACUAAUGACAUUGUGUACCUAAAUUUGUUACUGGUCUUAUCUCAGUGCAAAUCUAGAAGGGGAGUUUUUAAAAUCUCUAAUGAGCUAAAGUAGAUAUUAAAAAUAAUUCUCUUAGAGCAGAAAAGACUUUUUCAGCACUGCAAGCUAUUUUAUUUCUUUUCCGCCUUUCCAACUUUUGUUACACUUGUUUUAUUGUAAACAACUAACUUUAAUUGGAUUUCCUGACUAUUAUUUUUGUACAAAGAACUCGUGAUUAUACAAAAACAAACCUCUCUGUUUCUUCUGCUUUUAUAAAAUGAGGUUCAUAAUUAUGUGAUUUAAUGCUAUGCAAAUUUCAGAGUAGAAAUUUGUGUUUAUGCCAUCACAAACUUAAGGAGUUUUUACUUUCCUGUGUAGUCAGACUUUUGCUUCCAUCAGGUUCCAUCGGGCUGCUGACUGGGCUGCAGUUGUGCUUCAUUAUUCACAGGUAGAUGUUAGAUGAAGUUAUAGAUAAAAUUGCAAGUCCCUACAGGUAGCCAGUAUAAACUUAGUCAGCUAAAGAUAACUGAACAUUCUUAGUGAGUUCAAUAUAGGAUCAAAGCGUAGAGUGGAGAAAAGUGACCUCAAAUCGAACACACCUUGCACUGCUGUUUGUCAACAGUAAAUUACAUCUGAUUUUAAACAAGAGAAGGAAAAACUGCUGGCGACCUGUGAUUGUGCUUCAUAGAAGGAUCGAUACAAAGGAGAAUAGCCUUUUUAGCUUUUUCCAACUUCUCUGACUUCCUGGAGCAAAUUGGCAGUACUUUUUGAUCAUUCUCAAUUAAUAGCACUCUCUCCUUAAGCCAGGGAGUCUAUAGCCCUGCUGGGCCUGGUGGGACAGGGCUUCCCAAAUAAUGGGAGUGUUAUAGGCUGAAGAUUGCUUUACGUUAAAAAAAAAAAAAAGCAAUUGAUUUUCACCUUCUAUAAAUGGAAUUAGGAACUCAGUACUAUGUGCCGGGAAACGGAGCCAAGGGGAAUUUUGUGUAUUUUACAAGUGAUUUUGGUUUGAAGUGUUGAAACCAGUGAUUUCUGGGGCAAUUUCGUGUUAAAAGACACUAAACCUGAACUCUUUUAACCAAAUGGUUGAAGAUAUUUUGUACAGAUUCUUUUUUGCUUUCCAUGAUGGUAAAAAAAAACUAUAAUUCUACUCUGUGCCUGAAUGCAGAUGCUUUGUUUUCAUAUUUUUUUCAGCAAGUCUUUUGAGUUCUGAAGAAAUACUAACACACGAAUACCUUGAGUGUGUCUCAACAUUUGAUUUAGAGAAUGGCUUAUAAUUAAUUCUUUUUACUAAUCCUAAAACUCUUGGAAAAAAAAAAAAAAAAGGAUGACAGGUUACAAAUCACAGUCCUGCUGCCAAAGUGAAACAGUUUAUUGUAUUAGAGAAGAUAAGAGAAGGCAGAAAAAGAAAUCAGUCCAAAGGAAGUGGGAGGAGAAGUCAACUAGAAGAGAAAGGUAAAAAGAAAAAAGACAUAAUAAGCACUUAAUAAAUAUUAUCUAUUAAUUAUAAAAUAUCAUGGCUGAAUUCCAGAAGGUCCCUAAGUGUCUUUUUAGGUAUCAGCAAUGACAUGCUGUACAGAUACGUUAUGAAUUUGCAUGGUGACCAUUCAUGGAAUAGUAAUGGAGUAUAAACCAGUUUGCAGAAUUGCUUGUUGCAAAGCAUUGGAAGAAGAAUUUGACAUACUGACUGUUCCUUAUGAAAUUCCAUUGUAUCUUGAAAUUAUGAGUGUCUCCUUAAAUAAAUUGAAUGGAAUUAAUGGCUUCAAAUAAGAUUGAAAAAGCACAACAAGAUAACAUGCUUCAAAGGAAAAAGAAAAAGUGGGAUAAUUUCAGAGAGUUGUGUUUGUAUUAGUGGAUAGGUCAUUAAAGAAAACCUAGAAAAUCCUAAUAGAAAUACAGUGUUAUUUACUUAGAAAUUAAGCACCCCUUUGUAACAGGAAUUGUGUGUGCCCCUAUGUAUAAAUGGGUUUAUGCAACAGAUGCCAUUCCUAUUCUUAUGGAACUUAUUGCUUAGUGGGGCCCAGUCAACAAUCAAAUAAACGCAUGCAUAACUACGAAAUGAACACAUACUGUGUUUAUAAGAUAAACACACAUGAGAGAAUAGUAGGAAGAAAUUGCUGCUUCCAUACAGGUGGUCAGGGAAGUCAUAUCUGAAUGAGGUAAAUUUAAGCUGAAAAUUGAAAGACGUGACAUACCCAGUUAUGAACCGAGGUGGGAAGUAGGAAGAUCCAUACAGAGGGAUAGCCUUGCAUAACUGCUGAACAGUUGCAGAGAAGAUGCUGACUUGAUGGAGCCACUGAGGUCACUGUGGCCAGCGCGUGUUACAGUAACGAACGUGUAAUGAAGUUUAGAGUGGCUGACGCUUGGGUUAGAUUUAUGUUAUUUGAAACAAAACAAAAAGUCUCCUCUAGGAGAUUCCUCCGGCAAUAUGAGAGGUAGGAGGUAGAUGGAAAUGGGCCCUGGGCUUGGCUGUUCAAAGUAGGGUAGGGUACCAGCAGCCUCAGCGUUACCUGGGAGCCCCCUUCAGGCUCAGGGAAGUGGAAUCUGCAUUUUCACAAGACUUUAACGUGUUCAGUAUGCACUUUUUUAGGGUUUCAGAACCCCUGGUCUAGGUGAUUAUUGAAGGUGACUUGGACUUGAUGGGGAGGUGGUUUGGAUGGAAAGGAUUGUAUUGAUCCAAAAUAUAUUUUAUAUAUUAUUUAAUGAGGGUUUUUUUGUUUGUUUUAAUCUCUUCCAUAACAUACCACUGAAUGACGGGGAGAAGGAAACAUUUCCUGUGAUGCCAGGCUUGUUAGUUCUCCCAUGCAACUAUAAAAUAUAUUUAGUUUCUUGCUUUAUUAAAAAAAAAGGGGGGGGUGGUUUCCAUUGUGGCUCAGUGGCUUAAGGAUCCAACGUUGUCUCUGCAAGGAUUUGGAUUUGAUCCCUGGCCUCACUCAGUGGGUUAAGGAUCUAGUGUGUACGUGCAGAUGAAGCUCAGAUCCAGUGUUGCCAUAGCUGUGGUGGAGGCCCCAUCUGCAGCUCUCCUUUGACCCCUAGCUUGGAAAUUUCCAUAUGCCCCAGGUGCAGC